rnacentral:tRNA from 1 species
UACAUUUUAGUAUAUGAUGUAUAUGAGCUUUUGAUGCUUAAGGGGAUAGUUUAAUUCUAUCAAAUGUAG